rnacentral:rRNA from 1 species
AGAAUCAACGCUGGCGGCGUGCCUCAGACAUGCAAGUCGAACGCGAAAGUCCCCUUCGGGGGACAAGUAGAGUGGCGCACGGGUGAGUAACACGUAGGUAAUCUACCUUCGGAUGGGGAAUAACAACCGGAAACGGUUGCUAAUACCGCAUAAUGCAGCGGCACCUAAUGGUGACAGUUGUUAAAGCGGGGGAUCGAAAGGCCUCGCGUCUGAAGAGGAGCCUGCGGCGGAUUAGCUAGUUGGUAAGGUAAUGGCUUACCAAGGCUACGAUCCGUAACCGGCCUGAGAGGGCGGUCGGUCACACUGACACUGACAUACGGGUCAGACUCUACGGGAGCAGCAGUCGGAAUUUGGGCAAUGGGCGAAAGCCUGACCC